CAAUAGCGUAUAUUUAAGUUGCUGCAGUUAAAAAGCUCGUAGUUGGAUUUCGGGUGGGAAUGGCCGGUCCGCCGUUUCGGUGUGCACUUGCUACGCCCACCUUGCUGCCGGGGACGUGCUCUUGAGUUCACGCUCGGGACACGGAGUCGGCGAGGUUACUUUGAGUAAAUUAGAGUGUUCAAAGCAGGCCCACGCUCUGAAUACAUUAGCAUGGAAUAACACGAUAGGACUCUGGCCUAUCUUGUUGGUCUGUAGGACCGGAGUAAUGAUUAAGAGGGACAGUCGGGGGCAUUCGUAUUUCGUUGUCAGAGGUGAAAUUCUUGGAUUUAUGAAAGACGAACUACUGCGAAAGCAUUUGCCAAGGAUGUUUUCAUUAA
rnacentral:rRNA from 1 species